rnacentral:rRNA from 1 species
GACGUAGGUGGCGAACGUUAUCCGGAAUUAUUGGGCGUAAAGGAUGCGUAGAUGGUGUAGUAAGUUAUCGGUGGCAAAUCGAGGCUCAACCUCGUGGAAGUCGGUAAUACUGCUAUGCUAGAGGAUAGGAGAGGUUAACGGAACUCCCUGUGGAGCGGUGAAAUGCGUAGAUAUAGGGAAGAACACCAAUCAGGCGAAGGCAGUUAACUAUUCUAUUCCUGACAUUUGAGGCAUGAAAGCGUGGGGAGCAAAACGGG